rnacentral:lncRNA from 1 species
GCUCUUCAAUAAGCAUUAUUUGGUACUUUCUGAAAAGGUGGAGUGAAUGUUUUUGUAAGGGAAUAUAUGAUCAGUGUCUAACAGAAAACCCUACAGGGCAAUCUCAAAGUUGUUUCAUUUAACCCAAGUAAUCUAAAAUAUACAUUCACUGAUUGAUUGAUUUGAAAUUGUGUAUUAAAUGCAGCCAACAUGACUUAUUUUACUUCAUGUGGUAUGUUUUUCAAUGUGUCACAACUUACCAUCAUAACCAAAUAACAUAGAAUUUUUUGUUUUUUGUUAUAAAACAUGUUUCACAAUCAUAGAAAUUAGGGAAUGGGUGAUCCUAUUGAUGAAUCUAUUUGCUAAUUUGUAUGUGAAAACAUUUCAUCAUUCCUAACACUUUUGCUUUUGUUUCACAUUAUUAUUAAUAAACAAUAUUAACAAUUUU